AUUCUUUAUGAGUGAACACAGCAGCAGCAGCACAUGAUUCUUUAUGAGUGAACACAGCAGCAGCAGCACAUGAUUCUUUAUGAGUGAACACAGCAGCAGCAGCACAUGAUUCUUUAUGAGUGAACACAGCAGCAGCAGCACAUGAUUCUUUAUGAGUGAACACAGCAGCAGCACAUGAUUCUUUAUGAGUGAACACAGCAGCAACAGCACAUGAUUCUUUAUGAGUGAACACAGCAGCAGCAGCACAUGAUUCUUUAUGAGUGAACACAGCAGCAGCAGCACAUGAUUAUUUUCCUAUUGCAGGAUAUUACUUUGCUUUGUUUUUUGUUUUUGGGGAGCUUUGGGAAUAUGAGAGGAAAAUAAACUUGAUUGAUUUUUGAUAUUCAUUGGAUUCUUUGAAAAAAGAUUGUGUAUUCUAUAUGUGUAUUUGACUUUGUUUGUUUUUACUAAUGGGUGUAUGAAUUGGUGCUGGUUCCACCCCCCUGUGCUGACUACGUGUAUGUGGCACAUUGAUUAAGGCUUUUUUUUAACCAAUGUGUUACUAAGUCAUUUUUGAAAACACUUAAUUCCACAAAAUGCAGAUGAUCAAUUAUGAGGUUCAGUGAUACACACACACACAAACACACACACAACUCACACACUUUGAGUUAGAGUGCUGUGGACACGAGGAGGCCGUGGUUAGGGUUGGAGUGUAGGUAGGAACUGGGACUACGUGUCAUCUAAGUGCCAUAUCUUUUCAGUGUUGCAGCUUAUUUUAGUUCUACUAUGUUUCUAAUGAAAAACAAGAGACUUGAUAUUUAUGUGAAUCAAAGCAUUCCCUUUUGUUGCGUUCAUAUUUUCAUUUCAAAAUGACUGGAGUUCUGGACGUUUAACAGAAUAAGAGUUUUUACUGAAAAUAUCUCUACCGCUACAACUUGGUAGCUGUGGCAUUAACCGUUUUGAGAGAGUCCAAUCAGAAAACAUGCAAUCGAAGACACUUAUCUGAUGUGAACCCACUGAGACGUAUAGAGAUCACAACAUUGUAGCUGUCCCAUUAUGGUGUCUGUGACAGUAUGGGCAGCACCACUGAAGCCAUUUCCAUUUUAAAAUAGUCCGUUUUCUUCUUCUUUAGAUAAAAAAAAAAGUGUAAACUAAUAUAGGUGUCUUAUCGCCUCCUGCAGUGCUGGAGUCCUGAACCAAAUUUAGUGUCAUUCAUUUAUUGUGGCCACUAGAUGGCAGUCACAUAGCUUGAAGCCAUUUACAAACUAGGCAAACCAUUUUAAAGAAGAAGACAAUGCUCUGCUUAUUGGCUGAUCGCUCCCAACCCCAUACGAAUCUCUACACAGUUGACUACUGUAAAAUGCCUGGAAGCCCUCAAUGGCAAUAUCCAUGCAAAAACAGGUUAUUUCUAUGUAAUGAUCCUUAUACAUCUCUAUGUGUAAACCUGACUUGUCUAGUCUGGUUGGUUCAUCCAGGAAGUCUGUUUCAUGAAGUCAUCAGUCCACAGUUGAGUUCCCCUGCUAAGACGUUGUUGCAUGUAUCAACCAAUGGUUGUGUGCCAGGUCAUCGACUGUGCUGUCGGGCACCAGAUUGCUAGGACAUAUGAUAUGGCUAGCUGAUAUGUAAAAUAACUAUCCAAUGGCUGGGCAGAGGAACGUGCCCCACUACCUCUCUCUGAUGUCAUCAAAGGCUUCAGAGAGAAAAGGUGUGCUUGUUUUGCAAGCCGAUGUGUCCCAGAGAUGGGCGGGACAUAGGUUUCAUGACCCACUCACCUUAUACAGCAACCCUGGCAGUUUAUUCUGCCUAAUACCACUUAGAGAUACUCAGACACAUGCUGGCUUGUAAAACAAGCCCACACAGUCACGAUCGGCCAUAACUUCAUGGUCUAAAGACUGUAGUUACACAUGUUUCUCUUAGAAAUAAAAAUACAUGGAAAAAUAAAUGUAUUUAACAAAUGCUGCAUUCUUUAUAACAGUAGAUUUGUUCGCUAUACAUGGUGCUAUUGGGGUCUCAACAUAUAUAUAAAAUUGCUGUGUGUAUUUGAAUGUAGGUUUUUGCGAUUAAUGUAAAUGUUAAAAUAUAUUUUAUAAUAAACAGAUAUUACCUAUCACACAGCGCUUCAUCAAAAGGGUCAAAUAGUGGGUGCUUAUAUUUCUCCUGUUUCACUGCAUGUACAAGUGGGUAACUUGUACAAGUUUGGUAAUGGGAAUUUAGCAUAUCUGUACUCCCCCUGACAGUGGGUUCGUGGCCAGGGAUCUGUCGUUAUUGACCGGGAACCUGGAGCAAUUUGGGUUGAGUGACUUGCUCAUGUGCAGAUCAACAGAUUUUUCACCUUGUUUUUACGGGGAUUCAACAUAUCGACCUUGCGGUUACUGGUCAAAUGUUCUAACUGCUAGGCUACCUGCCGCCCUACACUGCACCGAUGCUUCACCCCUGUAAGUAGUCUUCUGAUGUGAAUACCCUUGAGCAGAAGGAAUCUUUCCACCCUCAAUUUACCAGGACACCGAACCCCCACCCCCCAAUAAUUUUGUACUAUAUUGUACGAGGUAAAACAAGUCUCUUCUCCCCCUGGGAAAAAAUAAGCAACAGUACUUGUUAUUCGCACUUUGAAAUGGACUACUGUAUGUGGACAAAAAAAAAGAGAGGGUUUUAUCAUAACGAUGCCUUGUGUAGUUCCAUGGGUUUAUCGUGCAUAUAUUUUGGUUUCCAGUGAACAGUUGAUAGCUGUAACUAGUUUGUGAAUAAAGUGUUGAAUGCCAAGGUUUCCUCCUCU
ensembl:lncRNA